ensembl:lncRNA
AUGAGCUCUCAUGCGUGUUCUCCAGAAGAUGUGCAGCACCAGCAGGUGACCCAGUCCUCCAUCCUCCUCCGGCUUCAGGAGGCCACCAAACCGUCUCCAGCGGACAGCGAGAGCUGGAGUUCUGGACCGUCACAUGUAGAGCGUGAAGACAGCGGGUCACUCGUCCUCUCCGGGGGUCAAGAGUCUGAGUUCGGCACGAAAACCCGUCUGUGCUGCACAUCGAGGGCAGUUCUGAUCGGGAUCAAACAUUUGUCAUCACCUCCAGCUACAGUGAAGAGAUCCAGCGCUGGAGGAGGAGCAGGAGCAGCUGGACACAGAGGAGCAGCUCCGAGGAGGAGAGCGACCGCUGCGGUGUGUCCCGUCAGUACUGCACACACACACACACACACACACACACACACUCACACACACUCUACACGCUCACAAACACACACACACACACACACACACUACACACUCACAAACACACAAACACACACUCUACACACACACACACUCUCUACACGCACACACUCACACUCAUGCACACACACACAGACUGACUUUGUUUACCUUCAUAAUCCCAGACUAAAAAAGUGCACUUCCACUUCUCUGUUUUUAAAAAAUGUAUUUAGUCACCACUUGAGUGUACUAGUGUAUGAAAGAUGCUUUCAAGUGUACUACAAGUGCUAACUAAAUAUAUAUUUUAAACACAGAGAUGGUAUGUUAAAAGCACAUUUACUUCAUAUUCAUGGUGUCCCAAAAUAGCACAGUUGAAUACACUUAGAUUAGACUUAGAAUAUUUUAUGUAUAUUAAGAACAAAAUUACUAUGUGAAAACUUCAAUUAUAGUGUACUUGUUUUUUACCUCAAUUUCAUGUCGUCUAAAGUCUUUAUUUCUAGAUAUAGUCGGGAGUUCAUGCCUCAAUGUUCCUCUGACAGUAACUACAGAAUUUGAUUGUAGAAUUCAUGAUACGAUAUCUAAAUGAGCUUUUAUUCAUAACUUAAAACGUUAAUCAGAGUUUGAUAUUAACCCACAAAUGAAAAUAGUCAUUGAUUAUUUCCCCUAAAGACCUGUAUUGUAGAAUAUUGGAAGCCAAACUUUGACGGUAUAGAUAGUAUUUCUUCAGUACAGUGGGAGUGAAUGGGUACCAUCAAGUGUUCAGCUACACAUCAUUCAGAACGUGUAGUCUAUUGUUCAGCAGAAGACAGACGCUCGUCCAGGUUUGGAGCAGUGUCUCUUCAGUGAGAUUAGUCCUGUCUGACUUCACCAGAUCGAGUCCUGAACGGUGUGUGUGUGUGUGUGUGUGAGUGUGAUUCAGUUUGAGCAGUGUUUUGUCUCUCUGUAGCUGAUGUGAUGUGUGUGUGUGUUCCUCAGAGAGUAAGAUGUGUGUGUCCUGCCGCACGAGGAAGACUCCUCUCUGGAGAGACGCUGAGGACGGGACGCCGCUAUGUAACGCCUGUGGCAUCAGGUGCGCCGACCUCUGACCUCUGACCUCUGAACACUGCUCAUGUUUUAGAUCUGUGUGUUUUUACAUGUCAAAAGUCUGACCUUUCCAACACUCUUCAUGUUAGUUAGAGGUUUAUGGACAGUAAGUGUUGUUCUGAAUGGGGCUGAUCUAGUUGUGCUCCGGUGGUUUGGGCAGGUAUAAGAAGUACCGCGUGCGCUGUCAGCGGUGCUGGAACAUCCCCAAGAAGGACACAAACACACACUCCUCGCGUCAGAGAUGCGGCGAGGUCCUGAAGCUGAAGCGCAGCAGCUGCUAGACACUCAUGAGCUCCGGGACUGAUCGCUGCGGUUCACUCUUCACUUACUUAAUUUACACAUUUACUGCUGAAAAUAUUUAUUGAUUUGUCACAGUGUCUCUGAUUUGUGUUUGCGGCUGUGUUUGUGUUCAGAGGUUUUCUGUGCUGGAAUGAAAUAUUAAAUUAUAUAUAUAGUCCCCUGAUGUUGCAGGAUUAUUACAUGGAUGCUUUAUUAUACGGUGUAUGCAGAUGAAUGUGUGAAUCAGUGUUUGUGUGUGUGAGUGAGAUCAGAUCAUUGAACAGGCUUCAGUUCCUGCUUCUCUGAGCCUCAUUUGUUCAGCUCAGACGUUCUGCUGUAAUUGUGACAAUAAUUGACUCAAUUUGAGAGAAGUGAAGCUUUUUGUUGAUUUCCCGAAGGCUCCAGAGCCAGACGCUGGAGGUUUAGUCACUGGUUGGGUGAUUAUGUUGAGAAUCUGAUGAUCGUGAGGAUUGUUUGAGUUCUGAGGAGUGUGUAGAAGCUGUGACUGAUCGUGUUUGCGGUGAUGUUUCUGUCUCAUGGUCUGUGGCUUCUCUGUUGAGAUUAGGAUUUAGUUGUGAUUAGAAAAUGUAGAAAUUAGACAAAUGACAUUUCAGGGUCUUUAUGUUCACUCCCAAAACC